GUGGGGAAUCUUGCGCAAUGGGCGAAAGCCUGACGCAGCCAUGCCGCGUGAAUGAUGAAGGUCUUAGGAUUGUAAAAUUCUUUCACCGGGGACGAUAAUGACGGUACCCGGAGAAGAAGCCCCGGCUAACUUCGUGUCAGCAGCCGCGGUAAUACGAAGGGGGCUAGCGUUGCUCGGAAUUACUGGGCGUAAAGGGCGCGUAGGCGGACAGUUUAGUCAGAGGUGAAAGCCCAGGGCUCAACCUUGGAAUUGCCUUUGAUACUGGCUGUCUUGAGUUUGGGAGAGGUGAGUGGAACUCCGAGUGUAGAGGUGAAAUUCGUAGAUAUUCGGAAGAACACCAGUGGCGAAGGCGACUCACUGGCCCAAUACUGACGCUGAGGCGCGAAAGCGUGGGGAGCAAACAGGAUUAGAAACCCUAGUAGUCC
rnacentral:rRNA from 1 species